UACGGAAGGUAGCAGUGGGGAAUAUUGCACAAUGGGCGCAAGCCUGAUGCAGCCAUGCCGCGUGUAUGAAGAAGGCCUUCGGGUUGUAAAGUACUUUCAGUCGUGAGGAAGGUGUUAAGGUUAAUAACCUUAGCAAUUGACGUUAGCGACAGAAGAAGCACCGGCUAACUCCGUGCCAGCAGCCGCGGUAAUACGGAGGGUGCGAGCGUUAAUCGGAAUUACUGGGCGUAAAGGGCACGCAGGCGGUUAAUUAAGUUGGAUGUGAAAUCCCCGGGCUUAACCUGGGAAUGGCAUUCAAGACUGGUUAGCUAGAGUCUUGUAGAGGGGGUAGAAUUCCAUGUGUAGCGGUGAAAUGCGUAGAGAUGUGGAGGAAUACCGGUGGCGAAGGCGGCCCCUGGGACAAAGGACUGACGCUCAUGUGCGAAAGCGUGGGGAGCAAAC
rnacentral:rRNA from 1 species